AUUCUGUAGCAAGGUUAACCGCAUAGGGGAGCCGGAGGGAAACCGAGUCUUAACCGGGCGUUAAGUUGCAGGGUAUAGACCCGAAACCCGGUGAUCUAGCCAUGGGCAGGUUGAAGGUUGGGUAACACUAACUGGAGGACCGAACCGACUAAUGUUGAAAAAUUAGCGGAUGACCUGUGGCUGGGGGUGAAAGGCCAAUCAAACCGGGAGAUAGCUGGUUCUCCCCGAAAGCUAUUUAGGUAGCGCCUCGUGAAUUCAUCUCCGGGGGUAGAGCACUGUUUCGGCUAGGGGGCCAUCCCGGCUUACCAACCCGAUGCAAACUGCGAAUACCGGAGAAUGUUAUCACGGGAGACACACGGCGGGUGCUAACGUCCGUCGUGAAGAGGGAAACAACCCAGACCGCCAGCUAAGGUCCCAAAGUCAUGGUUAAGUGGGAAACGAUGUGGGAAGGCCCAGACAGCCAGGAUGUUGGCUUAGAAGCAGCCAUCAUUUAAAGAAAGCGUAAUAGCUCACUGGUCGAGUCGGCCUGCGCGGAAGAUGUAACGGGGCUAAACCAU
rnacentral:rRNA from 1 species